rnacentral:sRNA from 1 species
AUUCUGCCCAUGCGGGGAAGGAUGAGAAGCUUCGACUAAGGUUCGGCUCGAGCGUCAGCGAGAGAGCGUUGCCACAGGCAACGGCCCGAAGGGUGAGGAGCGAAGCGACGAAUAAUCCUUCCCCCACCACCA